rnacentral:rRNA from 1 species
GACGAACGCUGGCGGCGUGCUUAACACAUGCAAGUCGUACGAUAAGGCCCUUUCGGUGGUACACGAGUGGCGAACGGGUGCGUAACACGUGAGUAACCUGCCCACAACUUUGGGAUAACGCUAGGAAACUGGUGCUAAUACUGGAUAUGUGCUCCUUCUGCAUGGUGGGGGUUGGAAAGCUCCGGCGGUUGUGGAUGGACUCGCUGCCUAUCAGCUUGUUGGUGGGGUAGUGGGCUACCAAGGCGGCGACGGGUAGCCGGCCUGAGAGGGUGACCGGCCACAUUGGGACUGAGGUACGGCCCAGACUGCUACGGGAGGCAGCAGUGGGGAAGAUUGCACAAUGGGCGCAAGCCUGAUGCAGCAACGCCGCGUGCGGGAUGACGGCCUUCGGGUUGUAAACCGAUUUCAGCAGGGACGAAGCUUUUUGUGACGGUACCUGCAGAAGAAGCACCGGCUAACUACGUG